rfam:Pteropus alecto contig34507, whole genome shotgun sequence.
GUCUACGGCCACGCCACCCUGAUCAAGCCUGAUCUCGUCUGAUCUCAGAAGCUAAGCAGGGUCGGGCCUGGUCGGUACUUGGAUGGGAGACCACCUAGGAAGACCAGGUGCCGUAGGCA